AUCGUCAGCGACGCUGGCUUCGCGUCGGUGGGCGAUGUCCCGCGGAGUCCUCGCGGCUCGCGCGCGGGCACGNUACCGUGCGUCGAUGUCCGGCGCUCGUCGUCGUGCACUUCUCCCCAAGUAGAACGUCGCGACCCGCUGGGUGUCGGUCUACGGCCCGGGUGCGGUGACUGUCGCGUCGCCGGUAAAACGGCACGCGACAAACCCCCGGUAGCCCGGCCGGCUGCUCGGCGGUACGCGCAAGGUAUCAGGCCGCACUCUUUACACGGUGCGUCGAGGCCGUCGCAAGCGCGCGCCACGGUACAUGGAGGUUACGGACUUUGCGCCGUCCCCGGUCCUGGCCCGCUGUUGGUUAAAGUACGGAUCACCUUCGACAGGCCUGCGAACGUCUCUCCCUCGGGGGAGACCGAUACCGGUCGGCGACGCUACUGUU
rnacentral:rRNA from 1 species